rnacentral:lncRNA from 1 species
AUGCAGGACGUGGGCCCCUGCGGCUGCCAGCUCAAGAGGAAGGGCAGGAGCCCGUCUGCCGUCUGCUCACACGGGGGGCACUCUGGCCUCCACACACCAGCCUGCAGUCACUGGUCUCAGGCAGUCCUUAUACAGCUCCUGGGGCCUCCCAUUCUCGCUGGUCCUGAGCCACUCCUCUGGCCCACAGGACUGGGGAGAAGACAGCAGGAGAACCACACACGUCCUUCUGCAACAAGGGGCAGAAAACGGUACAAACAUCCCCAUCCUCUGGGAGCUAAGGGUCCAGGGCCCCCUCCCCGAGAGACUCGACUUGACCACCCGGGUCCCCCCUGCCUGUUCACACCUGAGCCCAGGCCCCCAGUCUAGCCGGGAAGGACCGCAGCUCCCCUCUCCUGAACACACCUCUCUCUCCCACAAAAUAAUUUAAUGCAACUUAAUGGCUUGAAGUUGAUGUAAAAAUUACAGGCGUGUGAGGGUGGGGUGGGGUGGGGGCCUCGUAAGAAAUCCUUUUGAAAAUAUAAUUGAGUUAAUGGAGCCAUAACCGUGUCUCAUUUUGGGGGGGUAAUUGGCCUGCUUUUUGUCACUCUGUCCAUUUACAUACUCCUGUUUUCUUUUAGCUAUUGAUUUUUUUCUUUAUAAAGUGGGCCACUUUACUGCAAUUUUUAAAGCCCCAGUGAUGAAUAAAAACCUCAUCUUCCCACUCAUUAAGACACAGGAAUUAGCCAGGCUCAGGGCCCCACCAGUCAAUUUGCGUAACAAUCCUGAGCUGCUGGUGUUUUGGUUGGGGCCCAGGGGCUGCUUGCUAAUGGCUAGGGAUUCAAAGGCAGCAAGAGGGGCUGAGUCAGUUUCCGGAAGGUGGGUCUUGGGUAAGGGACCUGGAGGACUGAAGGGAUCUCCUAAGCCCUGAUCUAAAGGUGCCCCUUUCACCUCUCCCCUUCUGGUUUUCUUCCCCGGCUGCCCACAGCCUCGGGCCCCUCCCUUGACCUGCACCUGCCUUCUCACGACUGUAAUUCAGAGGCCCCACCUACCUGCCUUUGACUUUGGAUCAAGGUCACACACACAGACCAAGGUCACCUGUCCUUUAGAAUAUAUAUACAUAAAUAUAUUCAUAUAUUCAUAUACAUAUAUACAUUUAAAGUCUUUAUUGAAUUUGUUACAAUAUUGUUUUAUGUUUUGUUUUUUUGGCUGCGAGGCAUGUGGGAUCUUAGCUCCCAGAUCAGGGAUCAAACUUGCACCCCCAGCAUUGGAAGGCAAAGUCUUAACCACUGGACCACUAGGGAUAUCCUUUGGAAUAUGUUUUUUAAAUUACAAAACCCAUGAGUGUUAGUCACUCAGUCGUGUCCGACUCUUUGCAACCCCACAGACUAUAGCCUGUCAGGUUCCUCUGUCCAUGGAAUUUUCCAGGCAAGAAUNNNNNNNNNNNNNNNNNNNNNNNNNNNNNNNNNNNNNNNNNNNNNNNNNNNNNNNNNNNNNNNNNNNNNNNNNNNNNNNNNNNNNNNNNNNNNNNNNNNGGAAUUUUCCAGGCAAGAAUACUGGAGUGGGUUGCCAUUCCCUUUUCCAGCACAAAACCCAUACACACACAAAAUAAAGGAGGCCAAUGGGUUCCAAGCGCAAAGGGUUACAAAGAGAAAGUAGUAUCCUCCAGAGCCUCAAUCUCCAGAGGCAAUGUCUGUGGACCGCCCCAUGCCAUCUGCAGCUUGAUUAUUUGAUCUCACUCAGCAUCUUGGGCAUCUUGCCCGUUGGCCCUACUAAACCCGCUGGUCAUUUUUCCUGACUUCCUAGUACUCCCUUGCCUGUCUAUACUGUGGUGUGUCCCAGUCUGAGGGGGCGUGGGAUCCCAGGAUGUGGCAGUGUCAGUGCUAAUGCCAGAAUGGUCCCAGGGAAACUGAGACGGUUAGGGUGCGUCAGCUUUCAUGUAUUCGGCCAGUGGCUGCUGUUGGAUAUUUCAGUCGCUGCUAGUUUCUCAACCUGACAAAGGACAUCUCUGUUCACAUAUCUUUGUGCCCUUAUGCACAUGUGUCUAGAAGAUAAAAUUCCUAGAAGAGAAACUGCUAGGUGAAAAGCAUGCAUAUUUCAAAUUUUGAUUGCUAUUGCCAAACCACUGGGCAAGUGUGUGUGCCAAUAGAUACACUUGCAGCAAGUGGGAAAGCUCACGCGUCCCUCCAUCCUUGAUAAAGCUGGAGACAAUCGCUUAGGCCUCUGUCAUUUGAUAGGUGACAAGUAGUGUCUGGUAGGAUUUUUUUAGAAAUGAGCUAGAAGACUUAGAUAACAAUAAAAGCGCUAAUUUCAAGCGUCCAGUUUGAUGAGCUUUCACACAUAGGUACAGUUGUGUAACCACCCCCAAAGUCAAGAUGCAGAACAUCCCUAGCAGCCCUGGGAAAGUUCCUUCAGGCCCCAGAUCAUUCCCCAUCUCCCGCCCAGUCUCACCCUCGGGCCACCAUGACCCGCCCUUUCCGUCCCUGUAGAAUAGUUUUGCCUUUUCUAGGAUUUCGCAUAAAUGGAACCAUGUGAAAUGCACCUGUUGGUUUGCUCAGCAAACCACUUUGAGAUUCAUCCAGACGUUGUCACGUGUGUCCUGUUCACUGCCAGGUAGGGUCCACUGCCUGGGGGCCGUGUCUGCACCAUUCACCUGUUGCUUAGACACUUGGGCUGGUCCAGUUUAGUGUGUUAAUGAGCCAGGCUGCUGUGAACACUCAAGUACAAGUAUGUGAAUGUGUUUCAACUCCUGGGCAAACACUUGAGUGCAGAACAACUGGGUCACAGGGCAAGUGGACAAGACCUUUCCUGAGCUGUCUCCUAUUUCCCAACCCCUAUCCCCAGGCUGCCCUGCUUUCCAUUCCCCCAGGUAGAGAAAGAGGCCUUCCGCAUUCUCUCCAGCAUCCGACGCCAACUGCUUGUUGCGUUCAGUCCCACGGGGAGGUGUGCAGUGGUAUCUCUUUGUGGCUGCAACUUGUUAUUUCCCAGGUCAGUUCUGCUGUGUUUGGCAUGUGUUAAUAACGAUGUUUUUAUUGUGGAGAAAUUUCAAACAUUUUGUGUAAUACAUUUCUCUUUCUGUUUGUGGUUUUGGGGUUUUGUCAUAACUUCCUUUUAUACCCCAAGUGUGAUGGCUUCAGCCCCCAGAAAUGGUUCCCUCAGGGUGACCCUCCUUUUUAGGGGUUUCCAAAGCAAUGGAACCUAUACCCAGGUUCACAAACUCCCCAUCUCCCCAAGCCUGCCCUGAGUCCUCAUCUAGAACAAUAGGGUUUGACCAGGGUCUCAGGACACAGGCACACGACCACCAGCCGUGGUCCUUACUGUACUGAGCAGAGACCCUCAGGCAAGAAGACUCUGAGAAACCCCUGCCUGGUGCGAACAAGGGCUGAGCAGGACAGGGUCAGAGGCCACUCCCUGGCCUUCAUGACCCCUCUGCAAUCCUGUCCCAGGGAGGGCUCUGGUCCACAUGGGACCGGAGGCUGGGAGAGCAGAGGGCCAGUGUCCCUCUGCCAGGCCUCCCAGGAUGGAUGGAGGAGGCUGCAGUGAGGUGUGUGUAUGUGUGUGUGUGUGAACUUUCCACGCCCUGUGCCCUAGUUGGGGCCCACUCACCAGCUCCCGGGCUUGCCAGGUCACCUCACAGACACCAGACACACCUGACGUUUCAGCCCCUGGACCUGUAUUCCCAUCUGUUUUGUGUCAUAAGUUAAGAGUCACUGGGAAGCAUGAAGCCACCCCAGGCUGGAGCAGAGGCCAUGCAGACAGUCUCAGGUCCGGGGAAGGAACAGCACGGGCUGAAGUGGGAAAGUGAGCCGAACUCCAGGAAAAUCCCAUUCUAAACAUUUCUCUCAAGUAUUCAGAAAGCAUUAGAUUCAUAGCAACUGCUAACGAUCUUUAUUCGAAUUAAACUGGAAACUCCACAGACUCUGUGAUCCUGUUGCAGAAAGCAAGUCCUCCCCUUAAUUCAGUUCUCUGACUUUGCCCGCACCCUCAUCUCAACACAGGUCCCGGACAAUGAUGCAGGCAGGAAGGGGAAGUGGUCGGACCUCCAGCAGGCUGUCUGAGGGCUGGGGAGACUGAGAAGUGGAGCCCCAGAGACAUUUCCCCACCCACCUGGGGCGGCCCUGCCACCAGCCUGGCUCCACCCCCACCCCAGAGGCUGUCCCAGAAUGCUUUGGGCCAUGGCUAUUGUCUGAAGUGUGGCCUGAGCUUCCCCAGAAGAGCGGGAGACACCACACCACACCUCCACUCCACCCCCCACCCCCACUCUGCACAAGUCCCCAGACUCACACAGGUUUGGGGGUAACAUCUGAGUUGAAACAUCUGCAGACCCCAGCCCUGCAACGUGGCCCUGCCCAGGGGUGCAUGCGUGCUUGCUAAGUCACUCCAGUCGUGCCCAACUCUUUGCGACCCCAGGGACUGUAUAGCCCUCCAGGCUCUUCUGUCCAUGGGAUUCUCCAGGCAAGAAUACUNNNNNNGGGUUGCCCUGCCCUCCUCCAGGGGAUCCUCCCAACCCAGGGAUCGAACCUGUGUCUCCUGUGGCUCCUGCCUUGUGGGCAGAUUCUUUAAUGCUGAGCCACUAGGGAAGCCCCCUGCCCAGGGGUGCUGCUGGCUCUUUGGGAGGCGGGCAGGUUCUUGGGUCCCACUCUGCUCCCAUGUGCUUGGGCCUUGUCAACCACCCCCUUCCUGAGCCUGAGCCUGGCCCCAGGGGCCCCCUUGAAGUCCCUCACCCCUCAAAUGAUGGGCCCUGAGCCCUCAGCACUUCCCAGGAGGGUGGGUAAGCAGUAUGGCCCCCCUCAAUGUGAGUGAUAUAACCUGGCAUCCAGCCCUCUCUGCCUAUUGUGUGGGGUGAGAGGGGUGGUCAGGACAAGAGAUUCCCCCACCCAGCAGCUGGACAGACCUGGCCUUGGGUUCUGCUCCUGGAUCAUGCAGUCUGGGGGGUGCUGUUUGUGGGGGACGUGGGGGUGCUCAGAGCACUUCUUUGCGGGGUAG